UUUCCCCUGAGGGGAUUGCAAUUUUAACAUUCGCGGAACUUGCGGCUAUACUUAUUAAAUGAAACUAUGAUGAACACGAUUCUUUAGUGGAGUUUGUGUAAAUCGUAAAAUCGAAAUUACCUGUCAAUGAAGGCUGACCCUGUUUUCAUGGAUAGCCUUCAAUCGCUUCCCGAAUGUAGCUCCUCUUCUAUUUUCUGACUUCCACUUUUAUGUGUGUAUAUGUGUUGUUUGUACACACACAAACACACAUAAACACGCAGCAGGUAGUGAUAUAGCCGGGAAAUCUUUCUGUCUAAUCUUGGCGUGUGUUCUUGACACUGUUUCUGGGUCGACGGGAAUUUAGUCGAGAAGCGCCCAACAUAAACGGAAGGAAGUUGCGCGUGUGUGUCUGUCCAACGAAAUAUGGAACACGGCGCUAUCGACGGGUGGCAGGACAUCCGACCUUGAUGUCGGGGACAUGCGUAAUAAAAAAAUAAGGGGGAGAGAACCAAAAACAAAACAAAACAGACGUCCCUUCAAUUUAAGACACGUUACUGACAAACACGCAUACAUUUUUUUGAAGAGCGUCUAAAAGGCGGAGAGUGUGCUUGAAGGUUGCCCUUCCAUCUACGAUUCAAGGGCGGUGAUCAUUUUCACCGGCCGUGACCAUGCGCCAAGGGCCAAGAGUGUUAUGUUGCAUUGAAACAUAAUCGCUAUAGGCUCACCGAUGACUGCUUUUAAUCCGCCCGCCCCGCUACCAUCCAGUUUUGUUUUUCACCGUGAUUAUUUUCAUGUUUUGUUUUCUUGUGAAAAUCGUUGGAUGUUUUCGUGGCGACGACAAAGCGUCGGGACUAGGUCUCUAUCAUUUCCAUGAGGGAUGAUGAUAUUUACAAGGUCGUGAGAUGAGAGUGAGUGAGCGAGAAAGAGACUCUACAUUCGUGGUCGUGUUUUACCACCCGACAGCGGAUUUUCGACAACUUGGCAGUCUCAACCAGUCACCCACCUAAAAACCAAGGUCGGGUGACCGAAUGGAACCGGGCAGCUGGAAAAUCAAGGCCCUUCACAGCAGCACCCCUCACUCUAGAACGUUAGUUUUAGCUGCACACUGCCUUAUAUGGUGCUCAUGAAGACUCUACAACUUACUUGUUUCUCCUUGUUGUCUAGGACGAUGUGCUAUAGAUGCAAAUGCAAACGAGAUGAGAUGAGAUGAACACACUCAUACUUUGUUACGUCAUCCAUCAGUCAGUAUGUCAAAACCAUCAAACUCGUUGUAGUUUCGUUGCGCUAGCUGCCAGAGUUUUUGUUUCGGGUCUGGUAAAAUACCUUCGAUAAUUUUUCUUUCCCUUUUGCAUAUUGACAUUGCCUCACGACAUUCCAUGGCCGCCACGCUUUAUCUGUUUAGUUGUAACUGGAAUCCAUGGCCACUUGUGUGUUACUACUAUUACUGUUCAUCCAUCGAGAGAGCUAGAACCGCAAAGACCGGACCACAACGCUCACACAACUGUUUCUAGGAAACAGAUUCUAAACCUUAUUCCCCUUUACCGAUUUAUUUUGCCGAAUUUUGAGCGCUUCCGGAUACUACUACUGGACGUGAACUUGGCCAUGUUAGUUUCCGAAAUAUGCUUAUUUAUGUGGGUAGCCUGUUUGCGUGUCUGUGCUGUGUGCUGAUUUACCCGAAACCGAUCCAUACCGGCACUCCAUCCGCGCCCUUGAUUUUAUACCAGUAAGGUCAGACAGGAGCCUUGAAGACAGGAAUUCAUUUACGUCUCCAGCUAUUUUUUCUUUCGCGGUCACAAAGACAAAUUUCUUGCUCAAUGUCUUGACUUAUUUUGGGGAUGCUGUGGCUAUAUGCAGUAUAUAGUAAUAGUAAGUCCACGUGUAAAAUUGGAUAAAAGCGGCAUCGUCAAUCCCCCGGCAUUUUUUUGUGCGUCUGUUAGAACGGCCGGAUCGCAGGCCAAACCCGUCCAGAGGUCAUUGACUUGUGUGCCUUCCUUUUUUUUUUUUCUUUUUUUUUGGAGCUCACCAUUAUUAUUGUUAUUUUCUUUUUGUUGCUGAAAAAGCCGGGCGCCGAAAAUUCAUGAAAUGGCUGCAACAUCAAAAAAAGAACAAGAAAAAAUUUUACAAAAAAUAAAAAUCAUAAUAAUAAAAUUGAAAAGAUUGUGCCGAAACAUGCGCCAGAGUGCAUUGGCCACGAACGAAAUAGUAACCAGCUAACCCAGUGGCCCUUUCGCUUCACGCUAGUAAUCAGAAAGCUCCUUUGUUGUGGUUCCUUCUUUCUUUCUCUUUCUCCUUUUCUUCUUCUUUUUCAUACCGAGAUUGUUGUUGGGCUCUUGGCUAUGGGCUAUAGGACUUUUGAUGUUCUUAACAUAACGGGAUCUAACAGACCCGUAAGAGUGUGUGUGUGUAUCUCUUGAACGGCCGGCCUCACGAGAUGCGCAGACACCGUUAGAUCGCCGCGUCCAAGGGAUUGGAAAAGGGUGGAGUUUCGCCCUUUUUUAAAUGCCGCCCAGGUGGAGGCAGGGCAUGCAGGCGGGCAACUGGCUGGGUGAACGGGUCAAUGCUAUUAAAAUAAGAUUGAAACGAUUCAACCGUUCCGGACAGUCUUUGUCUUAUGGGUGUGCAUAUGUCUGGGGGGAGGGGUAGGAGGAGGAGGAAGAGGAGAAAUUACGGUCUUCGUGUCACAAGUGAUUCAAUCAACAGCGGAUUCAUGAUGAGGGUGACGUGACGGAGCAAUGAACGAACAUCGUGACGUCAUCUGCUCGUCGUUCGCCUUUAUUAUUUUUUUCCUCUUUUUAAUCUUGUUGUUUUUCUCUUAUUUGGGUUUUUCGUCUGCACGUUGUUAUUGCCGCACCUU